rnacentral:rRNA from 1 species
UACGGAGGGUCCAAGCGUUAUCCGGAAUCAUUGGGUUUAAAGGGUCCGUAGGCGGUUUUGUAAGUCAGUGGUGAAAGCCCAUCGCUCAACGGUGGAACGGCCAUUGAUACUGCAAGACUUGAAUUAUUAGGAAGUAACUAGAAUAUGUAGUGUAGCGGUGAAAUGCUUAGAUAUUACAUGGAAUACCAAUUGCGAAGGCAGGUUACUACUAAUUGAUUGACGCUGAUGGACGAAAAGCGUGGGGAGCGAACAGG